AUGUCGCACAAGGGGGCGCGCGGCCCUGCGAUUCCCCGUGCGGCCGCCAGGGGGCGGUGGGUCAGAGUCGGGCACUGCCGGACACGGCACCCCCCUCCACCCCGUUUCCCGGCGGCAGCCGCGCGGCGACCGGCGGCGCCCAGGCCCGAGCGCGGCGGGGACGCGGGCGCGCCGCCCCUCCUUUGUGUCCCCCAGCCCCCCCUAGCCCGGCCCAGAGGGGCGGGGGCUCCGCAACUGCGGUGCCCGUCGCACGCGGCCCGAGGCCUAAGCCGGGAACAAUCGGCGGCGGCGCGCAGUCGCCGCCAUGUCCCCCGCCCUCACCCCCGCGCAGCCCGCCCCGCAGGAACAUGGCGGCGCGGCCGCCGCUCCCGCCGAGCCCGGGCGCCCUCCCGCGCCGCGCUCGCAGCCAGCGGGCGGCCGAAGACGGCUCCGCGCCGCCUCCGAGGUCGGCCUGGGCCUGCUCCGCCGGCCACGGCCCGGGAAGUUGCGAGCCCCGCCCGGGGGCUGUCCACGCGGGUUAACAAAGCCCACACGGAGUGGGGGUGGCGUCCAGGCCGCGCCGCCCCAAGCACCCGCGCCCUCCGCCCACCCUCGCGCGCACAAAGUUUGGGGGCCCGCGAGCUCCCGGCCACGCCGCGCCGCCCGCCGGCGCGCAGGUACCUCGUGGGCGCGCCCCCUCUCGGCCCGCGGCCUGCCCCAUGUGCCGCUGCCGCCGCCGCUUUGUUCUGGAGGCGCUUUAACUCUCGCCCCCGGAGAAACUUUCCCUGCCCGGGGACCUGGCGCCUCGCGUGCGCCCUGAGCCCCGGAGGGGGCGCAGGCCUCGCGCGUCCCUUCCCCGAGGGGCCAUUGUGUCCGCCGCGCGCCCACCCGCCCGGCCGGCCCGGGCAGGGUCCGCGCGGGUCCCGGGCGCGGCCGCCGCGCGCACGCCGCCCCCUCCCACUCUCCCGACCGCGGCCCGGCCCUGCCCCUCCGCCAGCCCGCGUGCGAGAGAGGGGGCAGCGAGUCGCCGCUGCCACACGCCAGGGCGGCCAACGGCCCCGAGACCCGCCCCGGUCCCCAGCCACGCCGCCGCCGCCACGCUGCCCCGGGCCAUUCCGCCCCACCCGCCCGCCGCCCUUCGGACCCGGGCCACACACAACAGGUUUCACUCACUCGGCGGAGGGGCGGGCAGACUCACCAAGAGGAGUAGCCGCCACCAUCUUCGCCUCGCCCGCCGCGGGCUCUCGCUCCCGCCUCCCCACCCGCCUCCGCUUUACUACGACCCGAGGCCCCAGGCCGGGGGUGCGGCCCGCCGGCCGGCCCGCCCCGCCGAGGGGCUUCGCGAGGGGCGCGAGCCGCGGCGGCGCGGCAGGGGUCGUCCCCACCCCCUCGGCCUCGCCCGAGGGCGCGAAGUGGCGCGAAGGCGCAGGUCGGGCGGCUGCGGCGGCACCUCGAAGGACCAUGUGGGUGAAUGAAGGGCGGCGGCUCCCGCCUCAACGUAAAUACGGACAAGCCCCACUCCCUCAUUAG
rnacentral:lncRNA from 1 species